CAGUGACGGGUAAUAUAAAAUAAUAUAGGGUAAUAGUCCACUGUGCUAUCAGCAGCAUACGCCUUGGCUGGCUUGGCCACAUUCAUAGAAAUAAUAGAAUCAAGAAUGCCAGAGGCUAGACUGGCUGGAUGCGGCAGAGGAGUAGUUCCACAAGACAUUGUGAUUGUCACAUUCAUGACAUUCCCACUCCCAGAAUCUACAAUUAGAUCUAGAAUACUACUGUAUCUAGUCUCAGUAUCAUACUGAGAAACUUUAUUAAUCCUAUGCAUGACCCAUUUUGCACAUACCCAAUGCUUGAUGUUGCCAUUUUCUUCAGAAUUGAGAGUACAGCUUAGGUUCAAGUGACUAGUCUUAGGUCUAUCUAGCUCCUAAGAUGUCUGCGCAAAAGCUGAAAAAGACCUGGACUUACCAUGACAUUGAAAUCCCAAAC
rnacentral:sRNA from 1 species